rnacentral:lncRNA from 1 species
AUGUCCCCGCAGCACGUCCCCAGCCGCUGCGCCUCCGUCCUCGCGGUCACCACGGGCACCCGCAGGGCGUCCACGCGCCAGGACCACGGGGGUGAAGGGCUCUGCCCCAAAUCACGCCCCUGCGAGCAGCUCAGCGUCCCCUCCGCUCCCAUCCUGCCGGGCCAGCACCACCGUCCCGCUACAGACACCACGUCCAGGUCCUUCAGCACCGCUGGGUGCCCACGUCCCCGAGCCCCCCGUGCGGCUCAGGGCUGCAGCAGGUACUUCUCCUCGUUCCUCGCCUCAUCCGCGUCGGAGGGGGGACCCUUCUUGGGGCACGACGGGGUCCUGCAGGCCUUGCAGAGGAUGAGGAAGAGGAUGAGGAUGAGCAAGGCGAUGAUGCAGUUGAAAGAAAUCGCAACGACUGCUCCGGUGGAGAGAGCCGCCCCCAUCGCCGCUGCCCCGUGGGGAGGAGCGGGACCCCCGGCUCGGCCCCGCACUUGGGACGCCGGCACAGCCUGCACCCGGGGGCAUUGGCAGGGGACAGCGGGGACGGGACGGCUGCGGUGCGGGCAGCGGGACGGCAGGUGGGUGGGUGGCAGGACCCCCGGUACAGCCGGGCCUCCGGGAGCUGUGACCUCGGCUCGGAGCUUUCCCAAGGGUUCCUCUCCUCCGGCAGCGCGGCGGGGAUGCGUCUGCUCCCUCCGGGACCUGGAAGGGAGAAAGUCACCGUCACCGCCGGCACCGGGGUGCCCGAGCCCCCCGGGGGAGGUGGGAGCCUCCUGCAAAGCCCCGAGGAGGCUCGGGGGGCCGGCGGCUGCUGUCUGGGGGGCUCCGUGCAGCCUCCGCGUGCGCUCCCCGGCUGCCUCCCUCCAUCCCGGGCCGGGGCUGAGGCACGGAGCCGGAGGUGUCCCGGGGGCCCCAAAUCCCGCCCCCAGCCUCCCUCCCGGGGCAGCCCCAUCCCCGAUGCCGGCCGCCGGCCGCUCUCCGUGCGCUUCUCCCCCCCAAAACGCGGCGAGGCCCCCCCAUGCCCCAACACCGCGGAGAAGGGAGGAGGAUGAGAGGGGGGUCCCCGCACCCCCCAGCGCGGAUCCCAGAGCCUUGGAGCCCCGUGCGGCAGCAACAGGUCCCUCCGGAGCCUCCCUCCCGUCCCGGGGCCGCGGCGUUACCUGCCUCCGAGAACCGCCGGGACCCCGCGGGCGGCGCUGCCGGCUCCGGAGCCCGGGGGGUCCCGGGGGUGUCCGGGUGCGGGGGUCCCGGGGGUCGCGGGUCCGGGGGGUGGCGGUGGCGGCGCGGGGCCGCCCGGAGCUGCCGCAGCCCCGCGCGGUGCCGCUGCCUCCCGCCACCACCGGGGGCGGUUCCCGCCGGCGCGCCCGCCCUUGGCCACGCCCCCUGUGGGUGGCCACGCCCACCCCG